rnacentral:lncRNA from 14 species
GUUUCCUGUGGUGUUUGUGGGGUUGAUGGAGGAGUCCGGCCAUUCAAAUUUUGAAUGCUGGCUUCUUUAGCAGAAGUUCUCUGAUCCAUGUGAAUGUUGAAGAGGGAUUUGGCAAACAUAAACCCAUUGGGAAGCCGUGUUGCUGUGUUGGACAGAACCCGCAUUGCUGCGAGAAUCCACCCAGUUUGCAGGUGCAAGAAGCUCAAGCAUGUCCAAGCUACCUCUGUGUCUCACAUCAGCAGGAAGAUCCCUGCCUCUGUCAGAGGUGAAAUUGUCUGAUGUUUUAACAAGUAAAUGAUCAGGAGAGUGGAGAAAAGGACUGACACGUCAUGCCGUUAAUAAUCCUUGCUUCUGGAGGAAGGCCACAACAGCACAGUCCAGCUGUGGAGGAAUGUGGGUGUACCUCCAGGUGCUCAACCAAGCAGACAGCUGAUGGAAGCGGCAGCCUCAGCCAGCAUCCUCAGUUCCUGGAUUUAACUGCCUUAACAACCUGUGAGUGCACUCUUCUGCUGGCUUGUGCAGCCAAGACUUGCAAUGGUUUGUAGUCCCCCUGUGUACACAACAGGACCACAGUCCUUUCUGGCAGUGCUUUCACAGUGGUGCUUUCUGGCAGUGGAGGUACCAGAUCUUCUUUGGAAAUGCUUCAUGAAGCUAAAGAGGUGAGGUUAUACUGUCACAAAUGUCAGCUGCGUUGAGCUUCCCACUGCUUGGUAGUUCAUCUUGUGUGCUUGCUGAGACUUGGGCUGCCUAAGGAUUUGGAGUGGGAGAAAUUAUUCUUUAUGUCAUAGCUUAAAUCAUUCUAAGCCGGUAUUGACCCAGAAUUUGAGCUUAUUUCUAGUAGGUGGGACUGAGUCACUUACAUGACAAUGAAUAGUUUCAGGCAGAUUUUUUUGCCCUUUAUUUUUGUAUUUUGAACGAUUGGAUUUGUAAAUAAAGCAUUAGCAGAGACUCUGUCA